AUUGAACGCUGGCGGCAGGCCUAACACAUGCAAGUCGAACGGUAACAGGAAGCAGCUUGCUGCUUUGCUGACGAGUGGCGGACGGGUGAGUAACGUCUGGGAAACUGCCCGAUGGAGGGGGAUAACUACUGGAAACGGUAGCUAAUACCGCAUAACGUCGCAAGACCAAAGAGGGGGACCUUAGGGCCUCUUGCCAUCGGAUGUGCCCAGAUGGGAUUAGCUAGUAGGUGGGGUAACGGCUCACCUAGGCGACGAUCCCUAGCUGGUCUGAGAGGAUGACCAGCCACACUGGAACUGAGACACGGUCCAGACUCCUACGGGAGGCAGCAGUGGGGAAUAUUGCACAAUGGGCGCAAGCCUGAUGCAGCCAUGCCGCGUGUAUGAAGAAGGCCUUCGGGUUGUAAAGUACUUUCAGCGGGGAGGAAGGGAGUAAAGUUAAUACCUUUGCUCAUUGACGUUACCCGCAGAAGAAGCACCGGCUAACUCCGUG
rnacentral:rRNA from 1 species